AUUGAAGUGUGUGUGUGUGAGAGAGAGAGAGAGGGGGAUCUUACUCUGUCUGAAUGGAAAAGAAAAGCGUCACCGUGCAGAUCCGUGAUUGAGCAAAACGACGUCGUGCUGCUACGCAUCGCAUCGAAGUUGCAACAAUGGCGAGUUCCGAAUCGCAAGAGCAUCAUCCAUGGAUCUCGAAUGCAGUUCCUUUGUUGGUGGUUCUUCUAAUUGCACUUCACGUCUUCGCUUUGGUGUAUUGGAUUUAUAGAUUGGCCACUGACAAUAAGCCACAACAGCAGCAGCAGCUACAACAACAGCAACAGCAACAUCAACAGAGAACAAAGGCUCACUGACCGACAACAACAACAACAACAACAACAAACGUUCUCAUUCAAUUUCAUUUUCUUCAAACAAUUGUUGUAUGAAAUUGUUAAUUGUGUGCAGUAAAGGAUAUGAUUUUUUUGUUUUUUUGGUAUAACAGUGAUGAAUGAAGUUUUGUUUAAUUUUUAAAUUUGAGUGUUGCUGA